GUCUCUGUAACGCAAAUGGAUAGCCUGUUGGACUUCUAAUCCAAAUGCCGUGGGUUCGUUUCUCACCUGGGGUG